GACGAACGCUGGCGGCGUGCUUAACACAUGCAAGUCGAACGAAGUGUCGAACGGGUGAGUAAUAUGUGGGUAACCUGCCCUCCUUUUUGGGAUAAGCCUUGGAAACGGGGUCUAAUACCGAAUAAAGGGGGUUGGGCUCGCGGCCUAUCAGCUUGUUGGUGGGGUGAUGGCCUACCACGUCGGUGACGGGUAGCAGGCCUGGGAGGGUAACCGGCCACAGUGGGACUGAGAUGCGGCCGAGGCUCCUACGGGAGGCAGCAGGGGGGAAUAUUGGGCAAUGGGCGCGAGUCUGACCCAGCACCGCCGGGUGAAGGAAGACGGUAUUCGGGUUGAAAACUUCUUUAGAAAGGGACGGUACCUGUAGAAUAAGCAACGGCUAACUACGUGCCAGCAGCCGCGGUAAUAC
rnacentral:rRNA from 1 species